rnacentral:rRNA from 1 species
AUUGAACGCUGGCGGCAGGCCUAACACAUGCAAGUCGAACGGUAACAGAAAGCAGCUUGCUGCUUUGCUGACGAGUGGCGGACGGGUGAGUAAUGUCUGGGAAACUGCCUGAUGGAGGGGGAUAACUACUGGAAACGGUAGCUAAUACCGCAUAACGUCGCAAGACCAAAGAGGGGGACCUUCGGGCCUCUUGCCAUCGGAUGUGCCCAGAUGGGAUUAGCUAGUAGGUGGGGUAACGGCUCACCUAGGCGACGAUCCCUAGCUGGUCUGAGAGGAUGACCAGCCACACUGGAACUGAGACACGGUCCAGACUCCUACGUGAGGCAGCAGUGGGGAAUAUUGCACAAAGGGCGCAAGCCUGAUGCAGCCAUGCCGCGUGUAUGAAGAAGGCCUUCGGGUUGUAAAGUACUUUCAGCGGGGAGGAAGGGAGUAAAGUUAAUACCUUUGCUCAUUGACGUUACCCGCAGAAGAAGCACCGGCUAACUCCGUG